rnacentral:rRNA from 1 species
AGUGAACGCUGGCGGCAGGCCUAACACAUGCAAGUCGAACGGCAGCACAGCAGUAGCAAUACUGUGGGUGGCGAGUGGCGGACGGGUGAGGAAUACAUCGGAAUCUGCCUAGUCGUGGGGGAUAACGUAGGGAAACUUACGCUAAUACCGCAUACGACCUACGGGUGAAAGCGGGGGAUCGCAAGACCUCGCGCGAUUAGAUGAGCCGAUGUCCGAUUAGCUAGUUGGCGGGGUAAUGGCCCACCAAGGCGACGAUCGGUAGCUGGUCUGAGAGGAUGAUCAGCCACACUGGAACUGAGACACGGUCCAGACUCCUACGGGAGGCAGCAGUGGGGAAUAUUGGACAAUGGGCGCAAGCCUGAUCCAGCCAUGCCGCGUGGGUGAAGAAGGCCUCGGUGUAAG